UUUUCUUCUGGAAUGUGUAUGAAUAGGUUGGGAGACUGUGGUUCUGUUUUCCAUAUUUAUAAAUAUUUCUUCAUACAUUCUGCCUUUCUUAUACCACAUUCUAGGAGAAUCCCUCAUUUUUCAGCCCAUUCUGCUGUUUCCCCUUCUUCUGGAUAUUUUCCAUUUCCAAGAUCUCUACUUGGUUCUUUCCCAUAACAUCCUUUUUGUCUCAAGGAUUCAAUUUUCUUUCUUAUUCCUGUGAAGAUUUUAAUUAUGCUCACCUUCUGUGAGUUCUAUUAACUGUUUUUUGCUGUUAGUCCUGUGUUGCAUUUUGUGCUUCUCUUUUAUGAUAUGUUAGUCAUUCUUAGUUCUGUGCACAUCUUUUCCUUUGAGAUUCUCUAUUACCUUGAAUAUGAGAGCUGUUAUUGAAAUUUAAUUCUAGCAACUGUUGGAAAGAAAGACAGGGAUGGGCUUUUAUCUGGCCUUCUGACUGUGGGGAGGCUGUUUCUGGGUAUCAGCAGCUUCGCACGAUCUGUCUUGACUCUUGUGUCCAAGGGUCUCCCUCUUAGCUGUUUAGGGGCAAAUACUUCUGGUAACCACUGCAUGGCACAAAGUGGGAAGUGGGGAAGGGCAGAACUAUCAGCAUCCUCCUGCCUAACUGUACUGGGUUGAGUAGUGUCCAUCCCAAAAAUUCAUGUUCACCGAGAACCUGUGAACAUGACUUUAUUUGGAAAUUGAGUCUUUGAAGAUGUUCACAAUAUAAGAUGAUACCAUGCUGGAUUAAGGUGGGCCCUAAGUCCAACAUGACUGGUAUCUUUAUAAGAAGAGGAAAUUUGGACACAGACACAAAUACCUGGAGAAGGCCAUGUGAUGACAGAUGCCAAGAUUAGAAUGAUGAGGCGUUCUCUCAUGUCCUGGUGGUUAAGGGUUUGGAAGUGUCACUGCUGUGGAUUGGGUUCAAACCCUGGCCUGGAAACUUCUGCAUGACAUGGCCCAAAAAAAAAAAAAAAAAAAAAAAAAAAAAAUUAGAGCAAUGUAUCUACAAGCCAAAGAAUUCCAAAGAUUGCCAGCAACCAUCAGAAACUAGAAGAGGCAAAGAAGGACACCUUUCCUAGGGACUUCAGCAGGAGCACGGCCCUGCUGACACUUUGAUUUCAGAUUUCCAGCCUCCAAAACUGUGAGAGAAUAAAUUUCUAUUGUUUUAGCCACCCAGUUUGUGAUCAUUUGUUGUAGUAGCCCUAGGAAACUAAUAUACCCUGAAACCCUACUGAUCACCCUUGAAUCCCUCUCCAACCCAUUUUCUGUUUUCCAGUCUUUAACAGAAAUAUUGUCAGUUCCAUGAUAUAAUCCCUCUCCAUCUCCCUAUAGAUGACAAUAAUAAGUUGACAUUCCCCUUUUCUAAGAGAAGGAAAGUUACCACACAAGACAGUCUUUCCUGUUUGGUUCUUGGCAACUGAACCUCAAUAUGUUCUCUUAGAUAUCAGAUCAUAAUGAUUCCACACUUCAAGUCUCAGUUUACUCAUCUAGAAAACAGAAGCACUAAUACUCCUUAGCCUGCAGAGUCAUUAUGAGGAUCAAAAAAGAUAAGGUUAGUAUAAGAGGUUGCCUGAGUUGGCCAUUGUAUUUUCUCUUAUGCCAAGUGCCACACAGAUAAGAUUAACAAUGAUGAUACAGCAAAAGCAAUACAUGUUAUUCUAACAUUUAGACCAAUAACCCUAAUUCUGUGAGUAUACCUCAAGAAAAUAACAAACUAUAGAAACAUCUUUAUGUUUGAAAAAAUAUCCAUAAUAGUAAUCCUUAUAAAAGCAAGACAGAGGAGGGAGUUGGGGAACAGGUGAAAAAGGUGAAGACAAUUAAGAAGUAUAAACCUCUAAAUAUAUGUCCUGAUGAUAUAAUGUAUAGCAUAGGGUAUGAUACAGUCAAUAAUAUUGUAAUAACUCUGCGUGGUGACAAAUGGUUCCUAGCCUUAUUGCGGUAAUGUUUCAUAAUGCAUAAAAAUACUGAAUCACUAUGUUGUACACCUGAAAAUAAUACUGUAUGUCAAUUAUAAUUCAAUUUUUUUGGUCAAGCUCAGGACUAUGGCUGUCCAAUAGUUUCCUUAGGUAUUGGUGCCCCUGGUGUUGUGAUGAGGCAGGUACGACUGAGGGACCGGUAUGUGAUCCCCUCUAAUCCUGUCUGUGCGGCUUACUCAACACAUACCUUGAGGUCCCCUCACGUUUGUCUUUAAAGGAGAAAUGUUUUAAGUAACUAAUCAAGCGAAACAAACUAAACAGAUGCUAUCGCCAACUUUGAAUGUGGAAUAAUGUUCCACAUUCCCCGGAAUUCCCUGGAAUAUUCAUGGACCUUGCAAAGGAUCAGAGACCCUUUAUGGGACUCUCAUGGGAUGGAAUGUUUUGUAGCCAUUAAACAGGAUACUUAUGAAGACAACGUAUUACACGAAAAAUAUUAAUGAUCUAAUGCCGCAGGGGAGAGCAGAAUACAAGGUUGUAAGUGCGCUAUGGAAAUGAGAGGAAGCCCACUCAAAACUAUGGAAAAACACUUCUAGAAAAAAAGACAAAAAGGAAAUAUGCAAAAGAAUAAUAAUAACAUGAUGGACAGUGGAAUUAUGGGUAUAUAUAUUUUGCCUAAUUUUUCCAAAGAUCUGUCAUGUGCUUAUAUUACUUUCAUUAAGUAAAUAAUUAUACAGGAAGAAAGGUAAUAGCUCAUGAUCAUUGACCUUUAGCAGCUUUCUGCUAGGUCACCCUUGAUUCAGGUCAUCAUAAAAGGAAAUGCAGAUCCACACAUACUCUAUAGUCAGAAAUCUCGAAGUUAAAUG
rnacentral:lncRNA from 1 species